UCAUCGAAUCUUUGAACGCACAUUGCGCCUCCUGGUAUUCCGGGAGGCAUGCCUGUUCGAGCGUCAUUAAAAACCACUCAAGCUCUUUUGCUUGGUCAUGGAAGAUGAGUGAGCUUGUCUCUCUCCCUUUCGAAAUUCAAAGGCGGAAAGCCCCAUGUGCACCGGCGUAGUAAGUUUUCUUUCGCUUUGGCCAUGAGGUGAUCCUGCCCCAAACCCCCAAUUUUUCUAGGUUGACCUCGGAUCAGGUAGGGAUACCCGCUGAACUUAAGCAUAUCAAUAAGCGGAGGAAAAGAAACCAACAGGGAUUGCCUUAGUAACUGCGAGUGAAGCGGCAAAAGCUCAAAUUUGAAAUCUGGCGUCUUCGACGUCCGAGUUGUAAUUUGGAGGGGCAUCUUCGGAAUUGGCGCCGUCCUAAGUUCCUUGGAACAGGACGUCACAGAGGGUGAGAAUCCCGUGCCUGGAUGGCUGUCCAAUUUCAUGUGAAGUGUCUCCGACGAGUCGAGUUGUUUGGGAAUGCAGCUCAAAAUGAGUGGUAAAUUUCAUCUAAAGCUAAAUAUUGGCGAGAGACCGAUAGCGCACAAGUAGAGUGAUCGAAAGAUGAAAAGCACUUUGAAAAGAGAGUUAAAAAGUACGUGAAAUUGUUGAAAGGGAAGCGCUUGAGACCAGACUCAAUCUUAGGUGAUCAGCCGUGCUUCUGUGCGGUGCACUUGCCUUUGAUUGGGCCAGCAUCGGUUCUGGAGGCGGGAUAAAGACUUGAGGAAUGUGGCUCUCUUCGGGGAGUGUUAUAGCCU
rnacentral:rRNA from 1 species